GCACCUGAAUCUUUCCCAGGCCUGGCAGAAUGUGUGUAGGCCUGGGGACACAUGGUGCUAAAGCAAAGCAAAUCCAGACAAGUCACUUCCCUGUUUGUUGAGGGCUUGUCUCUACACCUUUGCAACAUUG